UACCCCACUAUGCUUAGCCCUAAACCUAGAUAUUAAUAUCCGCCAGGGUACUACGAGCACAGCUUAAAACCCAAAGGACUUGGCGGUGCCUCAGAUCCCCCUAGAGGAGCCUGUUCUAGAACCGAUAACCCCCGUUAAACCUUACCAUCCCUUGUUUAUCCCGCCUAUAUACCGCCGUCGUCAGCUUACCCUGUGAAGGAUUAACAGUAAGCAAAAUGGGCAAACCCCAAAACGUCAGGUCGAGGUGUAGCGUACGAGAUGGAAAGAAAUGGGCUACAUUUUCUAACACAGAAUACCACGAACGGCGCCCUGAAACAAGCGCCCGAAGGCGGAUUUAGCAGUAAAAAGCAAGCAGAGUGUCCUUUUGAAUUAGGCUCUGAGGCGCGCACACACCGCC
rnacentral:rRNA from 1 species